GCAGUGCCAGCACCCUAUCCUGCCAGAUCAGCAUGAUGUCAUUAAUGGUUAUACUGCUUUUACUUCACUAUCUUGGUGGGAGAUGAGCUGUUUCAGAAGCUUCCACUUGAUCUUCCCUACUAUGAUAGCUUUCAUCAACAAGCUCAGUGUAUGGAUUAUUCCAACUGCCACAUACAUCAAUCCCAAGAUAUAUUUGGGGACCAGAGAAAUGAGUACCAGGUGAAUUCACAGACCUGGUGGACCUAGACUUUGGUCAAGACUCCAUUAAUUACCUGACCCCUGGGCUCCAGAGCUCAUGAUGAAGUUUCUGGUUGUUGGGUAUCGGCGUCAGCUUGGACCCUGUCUUCAACAGUCCUUGAAAACUUGGUGGCCAAAGUACUGGAGUUUCAGCUUUAGCAUCACUCCUUCCAA
ensembl:lncRNA